UGGGGAAUUUUGCGCAAUGGGCGAAAGCCUGACGCAGCAACGCCGCGUGUGUGAUGAAGGUCUUCGGAUCGUAAAGCACUGUCGCGAGGGACGAGAAGCCUUCUGUUAACAGCGGAGGGAUAAGACGGUACCUCGAGAGGAAGCACCGGCUAACUCUGUGCCAGCAGCCGCGGUAAUACAGAGGGUGCGAGCGUUGUUCGGAAUUAUUGGGCGUAAAGCGCUUGUAGGCGGUCUGUCAAGUCUGGUGUGAAAUCCCUUGGCUCAACCAAGGAAGUGCACCAGAUACUAGCGGACUAGAGUGCCGGAGAGGGUCGCGGAAUUCCCGGUGUAGAGGUGAAAUUCGUAGAUAUCGGGAGGAACACCAGUGGCGAAGGCGGCGACCUGGACGGACACUGACGCUGAGACGCGAAAGCGUGGGGAGCAAACAGG
rnacentral:rRNA from 1 species